rnacentral:rRNA from 1 species
UGGGGAAUAUUGCACAAUGGGCGCAAGCCUGAUGCAGCCAUGCCGCGUGUAUGAAGAAGGCCUUCGGGUUGUAAAGUACUUUCAGUCGGGAGGAAGGUGGUAAGGUUAAUAACCUUGGCAAUUGACGUUACCCGCAGAAGAAGCACCGGCUAACUCCGUGCCAGCAGCCGCGGUAAUACGGAGGGUGCAAGCGUUAAUCGGAAUUACUGGGCGUAAAGCGCACGCAGGCGGUUUGUUAAGUCAGAUGUGAAAUCCCCGGGCUCAACCUGGGAACUGCAUCUGAGACUGGCAAGCUUGAGUCUCGUAGAGGGGGGUAGAAUUCCAGGUGUAGCGGUGAAAUGCGUAGAGAUCUGGAGGAAUACCGGUGGCGAAGGCGGCCCCCUGGACGAAGACUGACGCUCAGGUGCGAAAGCGUGGGGAGCAAACAGG